ACUGUUGACUUCUCGGAGCCGUUUU
rnacentral:miRNA from 1 species